GGUGGAUCGUCCUUUUUCAGCGGGAGAGUCUUGGAGGAGGUAUGCAGUCUUCUGACUAGUGGGGUGGAUGCAUCAACUGAAUUGAUCUGCAUGCAGCACUUCUGUUAAAACUGAUGUAAUGCUGGGGAUAUGGAUUGGAAGCACACUGCCUGUAAACUGGCACUGCUCACUGGUCUUCAAUAUGCAUGAAAAUACAAAGGGGACACUGCUAGCAGCAAAUUGGAUGGGCUUUUGAAAAGGCAGAAGUCACAACACCAGCUAUGGUUGGACUAUAACCUGGUCAUGUGACCUCAGACUCUAUCUACCCUGGUGCAACACCAGCUUCGCCACAUUUUGAAAAGGCAGACGUUACAGUGGUAACUACUGAUGGAACACUGGGUACAGCAACCAGAUUACAUUUCAGCAUUAACUUUCAGCAGGCUAAUGGUUAUGGAUUUGACUUCAUUCUGAAGCUGGCAUAGAAUGGUUAAUUGACCUGUCCAUAAUUGCAACAAAGUUGUGAAACAUUCAGAAUGCUUGCCUUGUUUCUUUUGAAUAAAGAAAUUCUUUAAAUGUGA